UGGGGAAUAUUGCGCAAUGGGGGAAACCCUGACGCAGCAACGCCGCGUGAAGGAUGAAGGUUUUCGGAUUGUAAACUUCUUUGAUGAGGGACGAACACAAUGACGGUACCUCAAAAACAAGCCACGGCUAACUACGUGCCAGCAGCCGCGGUAAUACGUAGGUGGCAAGCGUUGUCCGGAUUUACUGGGUGUAAAGGGCGUGUAGACGGGUUUGAAAGUCAGGUGUGAAAUACCGCAGCUUAACUGCGGGGCUGCAUUUGAAACUUCAAAUCUUGAGUGUGGGAGAGGAAAGCGGAAUUCCUAGUGUAGCGGUGAAAUGCGUAGAUAUUAGGAGGAACACCAGUGGCGAAGGCGGCUUUCUGGACCAUAACUGACGUUGAGGCGCGAAAGCGUGGGGAGCAAACAGG
rnacentral:rRNA from 2 species